CCUACGGGGGGCAGCAGUAGGAAAUCUUCCACAAUGGACGCAAGUCUGAUGGAGCAACGCCGCGUGAGCGAAGAAGGUUUUCGGAUCGUAAAGCUCUGUUGUUGGUGAAGAAGGAUAGAGGUAGUAACUGGCCUUUAUUUGACGGUAAUCAACCAGAAAGUCACGGCUAACUACGUGCCAGCAGCCGCGGUAAUACGUAGGUGGCAAGCGUUGUCCGGAUUUAUUGGGCGUAAAGCGAGCGCAGGCGGAAGAAUAAGUCUGAUGUGAAAGCCCUCGGCUUAACCGAGGAACUGCAUCGGAAACUGUUUUUCUUGAGUGCAGAAGAGGAGAGUGGAACUCCAUGUGUAGCGGUGGAAUGCGUAGAUAUAUGGAAGAACACCAGUGGCGAAGGCGGCUCUCUGGUCUGCAACUGACGCUGAGGCUCGAAAGCAUGGGUAGCGAACAGGAUUAGAUACCCGAGUAGUC
rnacentral:rRNA from 1 species